rnacentral:misc_RNA from 1 species
GUACCCUCCAGCCCUGCUGGGUGUUGGGCGUUUUGUUCCGCUGCGCGCGUGAACUCGCCUCAAAUGCAUUGGCAGCCCGCCGUCCCGUGUGGGAGCGCAGCACAUUUUGCGCUCUUCGCUGCUGACGGUGGCAUCCAUAAAGUCUACCAUUUUAC